rnacentral:sRNA from 1 species
AAUCUUCAGGCCGCAUAAGGACAACGCUUCUGGUCUUUGACCACGGAUGUACUGGCACUGGCCAUCGAGGCGUUCAGGAGAAGGUCGGGGAAUCCCGGCCUUUUUCGUU